rnacentral:rRNA from 1 species
CACCGGCGGCUCGAGUGGUAACCGUUAUUAUUGGGUCUAAAGGGUCUGUAGCCGGCCGGAUAAGUCUCUUGAGAAAUCUGGCAGCUUAACUGUCAGGCUUUCAGGAGAUACUGUCUGGCUCGAGGCCGGGAGAGGUGAGAGGUACUUCAGGGGUAGGGGUGAAAUCUUGUAAUCCUUGAAGGACCACCAGUGGCGAAGGCGUCUCACCAGAACGGACCUGACGGCAAGGGACGAAAGCUAGGGGCACGAACCGGAUUAGAUACCCGGGUAGUCCUAGCCGUAAACGAUACUCGCUAGGUGUCGGCCACGGUGCGACCGUUGUCGGUGCCGUAGGGAAGCCGUGAAGCGAGCCACCUGGGAAGUACGGCCGCAAGGCUGAAACUUAAAGGAAUUGGCGGGGGAGCACCACAACGGGUGGAGCUUGCGGUUUAAUUGGAUUCAACGCCGGA